GGCCAACCAGCCAAACGCGCACGCGGGAGCGCGGCCGAACGGCCGGACCUGCCGAAAUCGCGCACGCGCGCGUGAGCGGCAUGGCCAGCAGCAGCAUGGUGCAGCCCCACGUUCUGCCCUCCCAUUUCUCUCCUUUCUUUUUUGUUUUUCUUCAAUGACAGCUGGGACCCACAGCCAUCUUCUAGCUCCAGCCAGAGACCAGCGCCCGCACGAGUUCGUUACAGAACCGGAAAAUCCCGAAUUCUUCGUCCGAUUCGCCCAGAUAUCUUGCCCCCUCGGCCACGAAAAAUCUCCUAUAAAUACUCCACGAUCCCGCACACUUUUUCCCUCAAAAACCCUAACCAAUCUAGCUCCAAUCCGCCGAAUUUCGACCUCGCCGUCGCCGCCGUUUUGGAGCUCGAGCACCGGAGUCGCCGGGAUUUCUCGCCGGAGUUCCACCAAAGACCGACGUCUCCAUCCAUACCUCGCCGACAUUCCGGGAAGCGGAAGACGACGACCAGGACACUGACGUGAUCGCCAGGAGGAGAGGAACACCGUCGUCUACUUCUCCGCCUCGGGAGUUUGCCGGAGCCACCAUCACCAUCAACAUCUGACCGCCCUAGCCGCCCGUCUCCGGCCAUCUCUGUCUUCUCCGGUGAGCCGGCCAAAUCCAAUCUGAGCCGUUCGCCAUGCAUUAGAUCUAACGGUUCGGAUAGCUGAUCCGCGUGAACAGACUGCGAGGAGUGCAACGUCUGCGAUUGUAACGAGUGCGUGAACAACUUCAACAACCAAGGCAAGUGGUGUUCAUAAAAGUCCUAUUGUUUUCCUAUGCAUUGUAGAUUGUUUUAUGUAGUUUGCAUGUGUAGGAAAAUUGUUUUUCCGCUUUGCUUUGCUCCUAUGUUGUGUCCCCCUUGUGUCACUCCUUUGUCGCCAUCGUUGUAGAAUUGCUUAGCUAGCUCAGUAAACGGGGUGGGAAUUCUUCUUUAAAUUUAUUGAGUUGUAGCUAUAUUUUGUUAUAAUUGAAAACAACUUUAAUUAAUGAACUACCUAGGCGGAUUGGCAUUGAUUGGGUCAUCGAGUGUUCGUCAUGGUGGGGAUUGCCGCCUAGGGUAUUAGAGAAAUAGAUUGGUGACUUGUUUGAAUGCUUACGUGUGUUACCGUAUGUCUGUUGAUAUGGGCUAUGACUGAGCUUAGUAGGUUGUGGUAGUUCAAAUCCAUCGUGGCCAGAGAUGUAGAAUAGUGUAGGUUGGUACGGCACGUGGGUGGUUUGUUCUACUACUUCUCCAAAAGCUUCGGCUUGGACUUCUUUCAACCUUUACACAAAAUGCGUGUACUGGUAAACGUGGGCUGUCUGGGUUAUACGGGUAAAGAACACAAACCUCUCGAGAGUGUAAAAUCUGAGUACUUAGCCGUGUCCCCGGUUACGGACAAUUUGAGCAAUUAGACUUGGAGCUAUGACAAUUUCUCACUCAUCUCAAUUUCGUAAUUACUAAAAUUUGUGGUUGAACAAUUGGGUAGGAGCACCUGAUGUCUAUCAGCGUGUCCAUGUUCUGGUUUUGAAAAUAAAAUUGUUUUAUAAAAUGAUAGGAUAAAACU